GACGAACGCUGGCGGCGUGCCUAAUACAUGCAAGUUGAGCGAUGAAGAUUGGUGCUUGCACCCAUUUGAAGAGCAGCGAACGGGUGAGUAACGCGUGGGGAAUCUGCCUUUGAGCGGGGGACAACAUUUGGAAACGAAUGCUAAUACCGCAUAAUAACUUUAAACAUAAGUUUUAAGUUUGAAAGAUGCAAUUGCAUCACUCAAAGAUGAUCCCGCGUUGUAUUAGCUAGUUGGUGAGGUAAAGGCUCACCAAGGCGAUGAUACAUAGCCGACCUGAGAGGGUGAUCGGCCACAUUGGGACUGAGACACGGCCCAAACUCCUACGGGAGGCAGCAGUAGGGAAUCUUCGGCAAUGGACGAAAGUCUGACCGAGCAACGCCGCGUGAGUGAAGAAGGGUUUCGGAUCGUAAAACCCUGUUGGUAGAGAAGAACGUUGGUGAGAGUGGAAAGCUCAUCAAGUGACGGUAACUACCCAGAAAGGGACGGCUAACUACGUG
rnacentral:rRNA from 1 species